ensembl:lncRNA
UGGAUGUCAAAGAUUCAGUUCAUACGAGUGAUUCAUUCGCGAAUCAGACGUCACGUGUGACGUCACGCUCUCUCUUCUUCGCUGGUUUGCGGCAGCGCUAUAAAUGCUGGCGCGCUAGUGUGCGCGCUCUCUCAUUUUUGCGAUGUUGCGGUGGAAGUGCGCUAGCGCGUACAAAACUGAGAAAGUCAGGCGGUCACAAGAGGGAGGCUGAAUGUGCUCUGCAUCUACUCCAGCUGCUGCAGCUCCGCUGUCACACAAGACCCCAAAAUGCCUUGAUCCCAAUGGCCAGUUUUGCUGAAAGGUAAGAAUAGACCCCCCCAAAAUAAUGUCUUGCAGUGCAUGUGAUCUCUAAAAAGUUGCACUUAAUUUUUCUUAAACAUGCUUUUUUCCUGAAGUCACUAAGUUCAACUUGUCAUUAAAAAUUCAUCCAUUUUAUGAGCCGUUUAUUGUCCCAGUCAACAUGCAGUGAUGAGGCAGGCCUAGUCUGGGGGCGAACACUCAAGUCAAAUGUUUCUUGUAGCUGCAGGCUCCAGUUUCUUACUAGGAUUGUUGUUGCAGGUCACACAAGACCCCAAAAUGCCUUGAUCCCAAUGGCCAGUUUUGCUGAAAGGAUGAGGUAAAUGAGGAGAAAUUUGAAAGGUCCAUCGAGAUCAUCCUAUUGUGGGAAAGAUGUGUGAAGAUCUUCAGAAAUCAAGUUUUCUGUUCUUGCCCUUUUUUUAAUGUGAAAAGUGAUUGGUGCUCACUGUUAACGGUUUACAUUUUUUAAAAUGUAUUGUACGUUGUUACAAAUAUAUAAAAUCUACAAUUAUAAACAGCCCACUUCCUUUAGUGGAAAUUCCUAGAACAGGGUUGUGUUCCUGGAGAGCCACUUUCCUAAAAUGUAUAAGUUGAUGUCCGAUUGCUGCUUUGUCGUCAUGGGAAUGGCAUGUAGAUUGACAUGAAAAUAUCAGGGAUUUUAGCAUAAGGCUGCAACAAAAUGUGAAGAAUGAAGAGGAUCUGAAUGCACUGUUUAGGAGAUGUCUGUUCCUGCUUCUGCAGUGCCACCUUCAGCAGUUUAGCUCUAGCCGCAGAUAAACAUGCCUGAAGCCAGGUGUUCUGCAUCACUUGUCUUUCAGGCGUGCUGGCGCUGAACAGCAGGAAAGUGGUCCUCCAGGGUCAAGAUUGGAAAUCUUGCUCUAGCAUUAUUUGAGCAUGAGGCUGCUAUACGAAGACGAUGAAUGAAGGAGAUUUCUGAAAUGGUACAAUGUUUGAUUUGUCUCACUUGGUUCUGCUAAUGUUUUCAAACACUGGACAAUAAAAAGUUUAUGAAUGAGUUUUAAUUUGUCUGAAUACCUGAAACUACGUUUUAAAACUUGCCCUGAGGGUCCCCCCAGGUUUGUAAAGAUGGUGCUAGGUUGUUUUUUUUUGUUUUUUUAUUUUAAAUGAACCCACUAAAGUGUACUACCUGGCCUCCCCUGUAUCAUCUUUCCUUCCAGGCCUCAGGUUUGAGUAACAGUGACGUUAAUGUCUCCCUCUACUGAAUUUCUAAUGUAACGCAAGGAAAAUGGGAGAGGAUGGCAAUGCAUGUGUUCAUAUUUGCUCUUCAUUAGUCUGCUUGGUGAAUGGUUUUCCCCUAUUGAUCGUGUUUCUGGACAAUGAGUCCUUUAACCUUAACUGACUGUACGUACUCCAUAUGCCUGUGUUUGAUCCGCUGUACUGUGAUUUAACCUUGUAAACUCUUAAAUAGAUCAGUCCAAAAAAUACAUAUUUUUUUUUUUUUCAAGUUGUAUUUGUGUAAAUGCAUUUAUGCCCCCUCUGAG